GCGUGCUAUCGUGUACAUUUACUGCCGUGUACAACAGUGGAGGAAAACUUCUAAGAUACCAGAAGGUGGAGAUUGUUUAUUAUUCGAGGUUAAACAUGGCUGUGCAGGAUUGGAGCAACCACAGUCUCUUCCAGAUCAUCCAAAUGCGUUUGAUUCCAUGUAUAUUGGUGGAGUGGACAGGCAUGGCAACCGACUGGUUACACGUAUUACACGGCUACCAGACAGAACUGCUGAGGUAUGGCUGAUGUUGAAGCUAGGUGAUGGCCAAUACUACCAUUUUCCUAGCUUCCCUGACACCAGGGUGUACAACUGUGACGGGGAAAGCUUUACUGCCGGAGGAUUGCAACUUGAAGUGCUUAAACCCCUG